UACGUAGGAGGCAAGCGUUGUUCGGAAUUACUGGGCGUAAAGGGCUCGUAGGCGGCCAACUAAGUCAUACGUGAAAUCCCUCGGCUUAACCGGGGAACUGCGUCUGAUACUGGAUGGCUUGAGUUCGGGAGAGGGAUGCGGAAUUCCAGGUGUAGCGGUGAAAUGCGUAGAUAUCUGGAGGAACACCGGUGGCGAAGGCGGCAUCCUGGACCGAUACUGACGCUGAGGAGCGAAAGCCAGGGGAGCAAACGGG
rnacentral:rRNA from 1 species